UACAGAGGUGGCAAGCGUUGUUCGGAAUUACUGGGCGUAAAGGGCGCGUAGGCGGUCCUGUAAGUCCUGUGUGAAAUCCCCCGGCUCAACUGGGGAAUUGCACGGGAAACAGCGGGGCUUGAGUUCGGGAGAGGGAAGCGGAAUUCCGGGUGUAGCGGUGAAAUGCGUAGAUAUCCGGAGGAACACCGGUGGCGAAGGCGGCUUCCUGGACCGACACUGACGCUGAGGCGCGAAAGCGUGGGGAGCGAACAGG
rnacentral:rRNA from 1 species